UACGUAGGUGGCAAGCGUUGUCCGGAAUUAUUGGGCGUAAAGCGCGCGCAGGCGGUCCUUUAAGUCUGAUGUGAAAGCCCACGGCUCAACCGUGGAGGGUCAUUGGAAACUGGAGGACUUGAGUACAGAAGAGGAAAGCGGAAUUCCACGUGUAGCGGUGAAAUGCGUAGAGGUGUGGAGGAACACCAGUGGCGAAGGCGGCUUUCUGGUCUGUAACUGACGCUGAGGCGCGAAAGCGUGGGGAGCAAACAGG
rnacentral:rRNA from 1 species